GACGAACGCUGGCGGCGUGCCUAAUACAUGCAAGUAGAACGCAGUUGCGCACGGGUGAGUAACGCGUAGGUAACUGCCUCAUAGCGGGGGAUAACUAUUGGAAACGAUAGCUAAUACCGCAUACUGUGAGAUGGACCUGCUUUGUAUUAGCUAGUUGGUGAGGUAAAGGUUCACCAAGGCGACGAUACAUAGCCGGGCUGGGAGGGGGAUCGGCCAAACUGGGACUGGGGAACGGCCCAGAACCCUACGGGAGGCAGCAGUAGGGAAACUUCGGCAAUGGACGGAAGUCUGACCGAGCAACGGCGCGGGAGUGAAGAAGGUUUUCGGGUCGUAAAGCUCUGUUGGUAGAGGAGCGGUAACUAACCAGAAAGUGACGGCUAACUACGUGCCAGCAGCCGCGGUAAUUC
rnacentral:rRNA from 1 species